GGAGAGGUACCCAAGUGGACGAAGGGGCACGCCUGGAGAGCGUGUACCCCGCGCAAGUGGGGUCGAGGGUUCGAAUCCCUCCCUCUCCG
rnacentral:tRNA from 2 species